CAGCCGCCACGGGAAUACGAAGGGGGCUAGCAUUGCUCGGAAUGACUGGGCGUAAAGGGCGCGUAGGCGGAUGGCACAGUCAGAUGUGAAAUUCCUGGGCUUAACCUGGGGGCUGCAUUUGAUACGUGUUGUCUAGAGUGUGAAAGAGGGUCGUGGAAUUCCCAGUGUAGAGGUGAAAUUCGUAGAUAUUGGGAAGAACACCGGUGGCGAAGGCGGCGACCUGGUUCAUGACUGACGCUGAGGCGCGAAAGCGUGGGGAGCAAACAGGAUUAGAUACCCGCGUAGUCCCUGUCUCUUAUAC
rnacentral:rRNA from 1 species